rnacentral:rRNA from 1 species
UACGGAGGGUGCAAGCGUUACUCGGAAUCACUAGGCGUAAAGCGCAGGUAGGUGGCUAGAUAAGUUUCUUGUGAAAGCUCCCGGCUUAACUGGGAGAGGCCAAGGAAUACUGUUUGGCUUGAGUAUGGUAGGGGUAACUGGAAUUCCCGGUGUAGCGGUGAAAUGCGUAGAUAUCGGGAGGAAUACCUAUGGCGAAGGCAGGUUACUGGGCCAUUACUGACACUGAGCUGCGAAAGCUAGGGGAGCAAACAGG